rnacentral:rRNA from 1 species
UACGAAGGGGGCUAGCGUUGCUCGGAAUUACUGGGCGUAAAGCGCACGUAGGCGGAUUGUUAAGUCGGGGGUGAAAUCCUGGAGCUCAACUCCAGAACUGCCUUCGAUACUGGCGAUCUCGAGUUCGGGAGAGGUGAGUGGAACUGCGAGUGUAGAGGUGAAAUUCGUAGAUAUUCGCAAGAACACCAGUGGCGAAGGCGGCUUACUGGUCCGGUUCUGACGCUGAGGCGCGAAAGCGUGGGGAGCAAACAGG